GACGAACGCUGGCGGCGUGCCUAAUACAUGCAAGUUGAGCGCUGAAGGUUGGUACUUGUACCGACUGGUUGAGCAGCGAACGGGUGAGUAACGCGUGGGGAAUCUGCCUUUGAGCGGGGGACAACAUUUGGAAACGAAUGCUAAUACCGCAUAAAAACUUUAAACACAAGUUUUAAGUUUGAAAGAUGCAAUUGCAUCACUCAAAGAUGACCCCGCGUUGUAUUAGCUAGUUGGUGAGGUAAAGGCUCACCAAGGCGAUGAUACAUAGCCGACCUGGGAGGGGGAUCGGCCACAUUGGGACUGAGACACGGCCCAAACUCCUACGGGAGGCAGCAGUAGGGAAUCUUCGGCAAUGGACGAAAGUCUGACCGAGCAACGCCGCGUGAGUGAAGAAGGUUUUCGGAUCGUAAAACUCUGUUGGUAGAGAAGAACGUUGGUGAGAGUGGAAAGCUCAUCAAGUGACGGUAACUACCCAGAGAGGGACGGCUAACUACGUGCCAGCAGCCGCAGUAA
rnacentral:rRNA from 1 species